AGCUUUUCCACGGAUGCAACACACGUCAUCAUCUGUAUCGUCUGCCGACACGCUGGCGGCGGUGUCUCUACGGCGCCGCGCGACACAGCGUGCAGAGCCGACAUCAGCGGCGGCCAAGGUCGUCGCAGGCGGCGGCGGUCGGGCCCGCCCCGUGCAGCAAGGGAGCGGGCGCAAGCUGGUGGCGUCCAAAGAGCUCUUCUUCGCCGGGUUCCCCUGCAUGGAGCCUUACCGGCGCCAAGCGCCGGGCGCCACGAAGCCGUCCACGACGCCAGCGUCGGCGGUCGCCUACUCGAAGCAGUUUGUGCGUGGCUUCUUCCAACAGUACGGCGCUGUAGAGGCGCUGUUCUACGACGAGAAUCGUGGAAUGGGCAGCGUCGUGUUCGCCGACGGCGCUGACGCCGAGAGCUGCUACCUUGCCGUGCAUCUCUCCUUCAUUGCUGCGCCUGAUGAGAACGGCGGGAUGGGUCAACCGACGUGGGAGAAGGACAGGCCGACUGAGGCGCUGGAUGAGCGGAAGGCGCGCGCGCUGGAUCUUCUCCUGUGCCUCGAGUUUGCGCAGUGUUGCCCGUUUGUGCACCCCUUUCUGCUGACGCGGGACGCCUUCCUGGUGGGCGGGGAGAAGCAGUGGGAGGUGCCAGGCGGCGAGCUGAGCCGCGCGCUCCUCUUACACAAAUUUCCGGUGUUGCUGCUGAGCUCGGACUCGCGGCCAUCGGCUACGGAGCCGACGGUGCCUGUUGCGCCGCACGUGGUUGUUCGCUGGGAAGCCGAGACCGCGGAGGCGCCGGCGCCGCGCGUCGAGGUCGUUGAGGACGGUGACAGGGGUCCCGCAGCCGCUGCCCAUUCGCCAGAGACGGUACCGUCGCCUCAAUCCCGACCUGUGAAGCGUGUGGGUCCAACCUUUCCGGGACGCGGCAUCGAGCCGGCUGUCAUCGAGGAGGCGCUGUGGCAGAUCCUGCAGCCGGCCCACGUUGCCGCGCAGGACGGAAACGUGGUGACGGUGAUGGACAUGUGGUGGGAGUACUACAACCUCUACGCACUCCGCAAGACGCAACCUUCGGCAGACCGCAUCGCCGAUGACGCCUUCCUCUACGCCGCGCAGCCGUCUCUCGCGCAGGAGGUGCGUGAGGUGCAACGGCAGAGUCGCGAGUACGCGCAUGGCGACGAGGCGGCCGCGCAGCAAGUCAUGCUGCGGCUUGUUCAUGACAACCUGUACCACAGUGCUCUGUGCUACCUUGGUGUAAAGCAGAAGUUCAAGUACGACCCGAUGUGGGCAAGCCUGAUGCGCGACUUGUACAAGGACAAGGUGGUGCUGCACGUGCAGGCGUGGCGGGCGCUGGCGGAGACGGCCGAAGCCGCCAAGCAAGGCAGCGCCGUGGAUGGAGGCGCCCACAAUGCAAAACUCGCCACAACAUCAUCGUCGUCGACAGCGACGGGGCCCCUCAAUACUCGUCGAGGCAGGGCGGUCAAGGCCGCCCUCAAGGCGCUCUACGAGCCGCAGCCCACAAAGCAGGAGGACAUCGAGGCGCUACGUGCGAUGGAGCAGCUGUGGCGCACGAUGCCGCGCACGGAGGCCGCCGCGAACCUCAUCGAGAACGUGAAGCUGCUGGAGAAAAUCAAGGGCGGCCUGGUGGACCGAAACGGCCAUGACAAGGUCGACACGCGGCCGCCGCUACCGGCGCUGUCGCCGGACGGUGGCAACGAACAGCCGUCCGACAUGAGCAUGGAGGCAGCGUACCCGACUAUGAAUGCUGCCCAGAGAGACGAGCAGCUGUACUCAGCAGUGAUGCAGAACGUCGACGGCUACGUGGAGACCGGGACGGCCGAUGAGCUGGUAGGUCUGUGCGAGCACCCGAAGCUGUUUCGGUACGUCAAGGGUCACAUCGGGUAUGAGGAGGCGCAUCGGCUGCCGUCCUACUGGCGUGCCUACCUCAACGCCCUGUGGGUGCCUCUGAUUGCGUUUCUUCUCCUAGGCUUCGGCACGUAUUACAUGGUGGACUGGCUGGGCAUCAACGAGGCGCAUGAGAAAGCCGUUGCAGAGCGCCAGCGUCGCGAGUUCCACGCACAUCUGCUCAACCUGCUCAACCAGCAACAGGCCUUCUUGGACCAGAACGGCACAGACGGCGCACACCUCAACGCGACGUUGCAAGCGCUGAAUGAGACGAUGCGGCGUACGUCCGAGGCGGCUGCGAGGGCUGGUAAGAAGUUCCGCAUUGAGCUGAAGCAAGAUCUCUGAGCCGUCUUCCUCGGGCUCUUCACCGUGGUGGAAUAGGUCUCUCGUUGCGGUCGUUGGUGGUGGUGGAUGCGUGAGCUGGUGACGCUGUCCCAGCGACGAGGACGCCGUUGCUCUCCCUCUUGUCCACCUUGUCUUGUGCCGGCGUUUGUUUGGGUGUUUUCAUUCGGCUGAUCACCGGAUUUGCGUGCGCAGGGAGGCUCCCCUCGCCACUCCCCUUCCUUAUGCUAGCCGUCUUCGCUGAUGGAUGUAUACAUGGUGUCAUCUGUGUGUGUGUGUGUGUGUGUGUGUGUGUGUGUGGACUGGACAAGAGAAGGGCCGGCGAGCGACAUCCACAUCUAUACACAUACUUACACACACACGCACACACACAAGGGACACAGACGCAUCACUGCUCUGCUUCAGCGAAGGCGCGGCAAUCAAGUACACGUAAACGUAUACAAAGUGGAGAGGGGAGGAAGAAAGAGGGCGCGCGGGUUUUCCGCCAGUCUGCCUAGCUACAC
rnacentral:misc_RNA from 1 species